rnacentral:rRNA from 1 species
GAUGAACGCUGGCGGCGUGCUUAACACAUGCAAGUCGAGCGAAGCGCUUUUGCGGAUUUCUUCGGAUUGAAGCAACUGUGACUGAGCGGCGGACGGGUGAGUAACGCGUGGGUAACCUGCCUCAUACAGGGGGAUAACAGUUGGAAACGGCUGCUAAUACCGCAUAAGACCACAGUACCGCAUGGUACAGGGGUAAAAACUCCGGUGGUAUGAGAUGGACCCGCGUCUGAUUAGCUGGUUGGUGGGGUAACGGCCUACCAAGGCGACGAUCAGUAGCCGGCCUGAGAGGGCGACCGGCACAUUGGGACUGAGACACGGGCCCAAAUCCUACGGGAGCAGCAGUGGGGAAUAUUGCACAAUGGGCAAAGCCUGAUGCAGCGACGCCGCGUGAGCGAUGAAGUAUUUCGGGAUGUAAAGCUCUAUCAG